CAGCCAAUGAGUUUGAGGCGUUGGUUUUGUAUGACGUGAAUCCUAUCAACCAAUCAGAAAUAGCGCGGGCGAAAUGAAAAAAGAAAAACGCGAUUGGAAAUGGAUGGUUAAUAAAAUUCAGAAUAUUGCAAAACAAGGACAGUGUACAGCGUGUUUAAAUCUUCCAGAAAUGCAGCUGUGCCCUCUUUACAGCAAUUAUAGAUGAAGCAAAGUAUGACAGCAAGUAAUAUAGAUAUACACACAUGCCGAAGAAGAUUGUAAUAUCUGGAGAAAACAUUUCCUACGUCACGAAAUAGACACCGUCACACUGGUCUACGUAUCAUUCCUAUAGAUGAUUGAUAUAUUUAACUGCUUUUAAGAACAGUGUUUGAAUGACGAAUUUCUGUGAAUACGGAUUUUUAAUUUUAAUGAUUAUUAUUAAAACUUUCUGUUAUUAUCAAUUUGUGCUAUGGACUCAUUUUCCUAAAAUAAUAAUUAUGUGAAUGUUAACACGAAUAAAUGAUAUGAAUAUCUUUAAAAUGUUUUAUGGG